rnacentral:rRNA from 1 species
UCUAAGUACAAACCUCUUGAAGGUGAAACCGCGAACGGCUCAUUAGAACAGCUAUAAUUUACUUGAUCUUGAACAGUUACUCGGAUAACUGUGGUAAUUCUAGAGCUAAUACGUGCACCAAAGCUGUUCCCUCGGGAGCAGUGCAUUUAUUUGAGCAAAACCAAACGGCUUCGGCCGUCUUUGGUGAACCAGAAUAACUAAGCUGAUCGCAUGGGCUUGUCCCGGCGACGUGUCUUUCAAGUGUCUGCCUUAUCAACUUUCGAUGGUAGUGUAUAGGACUACCAUGGUGUUGACGGGUAACGGAGGAUAAGGGUUCGACUCCGGAGAAGGGGCCUGAGAAAUGGCCACUACGUCUAAGGAUGGCAGCAGGCGCGCAAAUUACCCACUCUCAGUUCGAGGAGGUAGUGACGAAAAAUAACAAGGCCGUUCUCUUUGAGGCCGGCCAUUGGAAUGGGUACAACUUAAACCCUUUAACGAGUAUCAAUGAGAGGGCAAGUCUGGUGCCAGCAGCCGCGGUAAUUCCAGCUCUCAAAGUGCAUAGAACCAUUGCUGCGGUUAAAAAGCUCGUAGUUGGAUCUGUGCUCGUGACGUGGUCCUCUCGCAAGAGUGGUACUGCGCUCACGGGCUUUGGACCGGUCUUCGCGGUCGGUAGCCUUGAUUGGUUGCCGCUCGUGGCUGGUUGGUUUACUUUGAGCAAAUCAGAGUGCUCAGCACAGGCGUCUAGCCGGAAUGUUCGUGCAUGGAAUAAUAGAAAAGGAUUUCGGUCCUCUUUUGUUGGUUUUGUGGACUGAGAUAAUGGUUAACAGAGACGACCGGGGGCAUUCGUAUUGCUGCGUGAGAGGUGAAAUUCUUGGACCGCAGCAGGACGAACUACAGCGA